rnacentral:rRNA from 1 species
UACGAAGGGGGCUAGCGUUGCUCGGAAUCACUGGGCGUAAAGCGCACGUAGGCGGAUUGUUAAGUCAGGGGUGAAAUCCCGGAGCUCAACUCCGGAACUGCCUUUGAUACUGGCGAUCUUGAGUCCGGGAGAGGUGAGUGGAACUGCGAGUGUAGAGGUGAAAUUCGUAGAUAUCCGCAAGAACACCAGUGGCGAAGGCGGCUACCUGGCCUAAUACUGACACUGAGGCACGAAAGCGUGGGGAGCAAACAGG